GACGAACGCUGGCGGCGUGCUUAACACAUGCAAGUCGAGCGGUAAGGCCUUUCGGGGUACACGAGCGGCGAACGGGUGAGUAACACGUGUGUGAUCUGCCCUGCACUUCGGGAUAAGCCUGGGAAACUGGGUCUAAUACCGGAUAUGACCCCCUAUCGCAUGUUGGGUGGUGGAAAGAUUUAUCGGUGCAGGAUGGGCCCGCGGCCUAUCAGCUUGUUGGUGGGGUGAUGGCCUACCAAGGCGACGACGGGUAGCCGACCUGAGAGGGUGACCGGCCACACUGGGACUGAGACACGGCCCAGACUCCUACGGGAGGCAGCAGUGGGGAAUAUUGCACAAUGGGCGAAAGCCUGAUGCAGCGACGCCGCGUGAGGGAUGACGGCCUUCGGGUUGUAAACCUCUUUCAGCAGGGACGAAGCGAAAGUGACGGUACCUGCAGAAGAAGCACCGGCUAACUACGUG
rnacentral:rRNA from 1 species